GAACGAAGCAUGCCGGAGGAAGUUUUCGGAUGCUAUCCGGGAUGACUGAGUGGCGGACGGGUGAGUAACGCGUGGGUAACCUGCCCUGUACAGGGGGACAACAGUUAUAAAUGACUGCUAAUACCGCAUAAGCGCACAGGACCGCAUGGUCCGGUGUGAAAAACUCCGGUGGUACAGGAUGGACCCGCGUCUGAUUAGGUAGUUGGCGGGGUAACGGCCCACCAAGCCGACGAUCAGUAGCCGACCUGAGAGGGUGACCGGCCACAUUGGGACUGAGACACGGCCCAAACUCCUACGGGAGGCAGCAGUGGGGAAUAUUGCACAAUGGGGGGAACCCUGAUGCAGCGACGCCGCGUGAGUGAAGAAGUAUUUCCGUACGCAAAGCUCUAUCAGCAGGGAAGAAAAUGACGGUACCUGACUAAGAAGCCCCGGCUAACUACGUGCCAGCAGCCGCGGUAAUACGUAGGGGGCAAGCGUUAUCCGGAUUUACUGGGUGUAAAGGGAGCGUAGACGGCAGAGCAAGUCUGAAGUGAAAGCCCGCGGCCCAACUGCGGGACUGCUUUGGAAACUGCCCGGCUAGAGUGCUGGAGAGGUAAGCGGAAUUCCUAGUGUAGCGGUGAAAUGCGUAGAUUUUUGGGAGAACACCAGUGGCGAAGGCGGCUUACUGGACAGUAACUGACGUUGAGGCUCGAAAGC
rnacentral:rRNA from 1 species